rnacentral:miRNA from 1 species
UGAUCGGAAGGGUUUCCUUCCGGUCAACGAGGUACAUGUACCUCAUCAACCGGAAGGAAACCCCUCCGAUUGAUGAGGUACAUCUACCUCAUCAACCGGAAGGAAACCCUUCCGGUCA